AUUGAACGCUGGCGGCAGGCCUAACACAUGCAAGUCGAACGAGUGGCGGACGGGUGAGUAAUGUAUGGGAAACUGCCUGAUGGAGGGGGAUAACUACUGGAAACGGUAGCUAAUACCGCAUAACAUCAGAUGUGCCCAGAUGGGAUUAGCUAGGUGGUGGGGUAACGGCUCACCAAGGCGACGAUGCCUAGCUGGUCUGAGAGGAUGACCAGCCACACUGGAACUGAGACACGGUCCAGACUCCUACGUGAGGCAGCAGUGGGGAUUAUUGCACAAUGGGCGCAAGCCUGAUGCAGCCAAUCCGCGUGUAUGAAAAAGGCCUUCGGGUUGUAAAGUACUUUCCGCGGGGAAGCGUUACCCACAGAAGAAGCACCGGCUAACUCCGUGCCAGCAGCCGCGGUAAUUC
rnacentral:rRNA from 1 species